GAUGAACGCUGGCGGCGUGCCUAAUACAUGCAAGUCGAGCGAACAGACGAGGAGCUUGCUCCUCUGACGUUAGCGGCGGACGGGUGAGUAACACGUGGAUAACCUACCUAUAAGACUGGGAUAACUUCGGGACACCGGAGCUAAUACCGGAUAAUAUAUUGAACCGCAUGGUUCAAUAGUGAAAGACGGUUUUGCUGUCACUUAUAGAUGGAUCCGCGCCGCAUUAGCUAGUUGGUAAGGUAACGGCUUACCAAGGCAACGAUGCGUAGCCGACCUGAGAGGGUGAGCGGCCACACUGGAACUGAGACACGGCCCAUACGCAUACGGGAGGCAGCAGUAGGGAAUCUUCCGGAAGGGGCGAAAGCCUGACGGAGCAACGCCGCGUGAGUGAUGAAGGUCUUCGGAUCGUAAAACUCUGUUAUUAGGGAAGAACAAAUGUGUAAGUAACUAUGCACGUCUUGACGGUACCUAAUCAGAAAGCCACGGCUAACUACGUG
rnacentral:rRNA from 1 species